GACGAACGCUGGCGGCGUGCUUAACACAUGCAAGUCGAGCGGUAAGGCCCUUUCGGGGGUACGACGAGCGGCGAACGGGUGAGUAACACGUGGGUGACCUGCCCUCCAGCUCUGGGAUAAGCCUGGGAAACCGGGUCUAAUACUGGAUAUGACUCCAUGACGCAUGUUGUGGGGUGGAAAGCCUUGUGCGGCUGAGGAUGGGCCCGCGGCCUAUCAGCUUGUUGGUGGGGUGAGGCCUACCAAGGCGACGACGGGUAGCCGGCCUGAGAGGGCGACCGGCCACACUGGGACUGAGACACGGCCCAGACUCCUACGGGAGGCAGCAGUGGGGAAUCUUGCGCAAUGGGCGAAAGCCUGACGCAGCGACGCCGCGUGAGGGAUGACGGCCUGG
rnacentral:rRNA from 1 species